GUGUAGCAGGCCUUACUCUCGCCUUCCGUCCGCGGGGCGCUCCUCCGUGUAUAGUUAGUUAUUGGUGAGGAGUAGAGCGAGUAUUCGACUUUCGACUUUCCAAAAAGUUAUCAACCAUGCGCGCAAAGGAAAGUGUAUCUUGAUCUCCUUUUCAUCUUCAACCGCCAUAUGUACACACACAGUACGCACACACCACACCGCGAUGUACACUAGUAUGUUCCAUUAAUGCCUGGACCUGUCAUAAUGCAACUUGAACGGUCGGUAACAAUUGAUAUAGGUCCAGGCAUUAACUGUUUUAACUGCGAUAACAGAUCGCUAUUUGAGACAAGUUAUCUCAAUAAAGUGAAAAAAUUGUAAUUCGUGAUAUCACGAAUACAGUAUAUACCGCCGCGUCGAAACUACGAUGGUUACGUUUCACUAUCCUGACUUUUCUACUUUGUUGGAACAAACGUAUCGACCCGCGUUGCAGUGCCAAUAUUUUGCAUAGCUUGUCUUAAUUAUCCGAGCAGGAUGGACGGUCCGUGCUAUGGAAAUACAAUUAUUGCUUUGUCGCGCGUUGAGAGUAUCCUGCCUGGCUUCGUACUCGGGUCAUCCACCGGGGACACUCUGCUGAAUUGUACGCUUUACUUAUCCGACAAAGGAUAAUGGUAGCGCAGACAUACCACAAGAGGAAAAGAAACAACAACUACGCACCCGUCCAUGUUUUUAAUGACGAUUGGCCUCGCACAAACAAUUUUAUGUUUCCCAGUCG